AUCCUGGCUCAGGACGAACGCUGGCGGCGUGCUUAACACAUGCAAGUCGAGCGGUAAGGCCUUUCGGGGUACACGAGCGGCGAACGGGUGAGUAACACGUGGGUGAUCUGCCCUGCACUCUGGGAUAAGCCUGGGAAACUGGGUCUAAUACCGGAUAUGACUCCAGCAUGCAUGUGNUGGGGUGGAAAGCUUUUGUGGUGCAGGAUGGGCCCGCGGCCUAUCAGCUUGUUGGUGGGGUAAUGGCCUACCAAGGCGACGACGGGUAGCCGACCUGAGAGGGUGACCGGCCACACUGGGACUGAGACACGGCCCAGACUCCUACGGGAGGCAGCAGUGGGGAAUAUUGCACAAUGGGCGGAAGCCUGAUGCAGCGACGCCGCGUGAGGGAUGAAGGCCUUCGGGUUGUAAACCUCUUUCAGCAGGGACGAAGCGUGAGUGACGGUACCUGCAGAAGAAGCACCGGCUAACUACGUGCCAGCAGCCGCGGUAAUACGUAGGGUGCGAGCGUUGUCCGGAAUUACUGGGCGUAAAGAGUUCGUAGGCGGUUUGUCGCGUCGUUUGUGAAAACCCGGGGCUCAACUUCGGGCUUGCAGGCGAUACGGGCAGACUUGAGUGUUUCAGGGGAGACUGGAAUUCCUGGUGUAGCGGUGAAAUGCGCAGAUAUCAGGAGGAACACCGGUGGCGAAGGCGGGUCUCUGGGAAAC
rnacentral:rRNA from 1 species